rnacentral:rRNA from 1 species
UACGGAGGGGGCCAGCGUUGUUCGGAAUCAUUGGGCGUAAAGGGCGCGUAGGCGGCUUUGUAAGUCCGUUGUGAAAUCCCUCGGCUCAACCGAGGAACUGCGACGGAUACUGCUUGGCUUGAGUCCCGGAGAGGGUAGCGGAAUUCCCAGUGUAGCGGUGAAAUGCGUAGAUAUUGGGAGGAACAUCGGUGGCGAAGGCGGCUACCUGGACGGGUACUGACGCUGAGGUGCGAAAGCGUGGGGAGCAAACAGG